AGGGGCAACAAACUCAGAGUCAACACUCCAAAAGAACAGGGCAGAGCUACAAGGAAUUUUACAACCUGCAUGGAAGGAGAAUAGGGAGCACCCAUUAAGAAAAAGACCGCCGGUUCCAUGUGGCUGGCCGUCCAUAUACAAGUGAUGAGGUGUGGGAAGAAGAGUCUAGGGGGUGUGGCUAGGCCAGAUCCAGAGGGACUUCACAUGCCUUACUGAGGAGACUGCACAUUGUUCUGUAGACAAUGGAGAGUCACCAGAGAAUUCUAAAUUUGAGAGUAUUUUGGAAAUACUAUCAUGGCAGCAGGAAAGAAGGUUAUUUGAAGGAGUGGGGACUGGAUGAAGGAAAACCAUUUAAGAUGCCAUUGCAACAGUUAAAGAAAGAAAAGAAACAGACCUUAACUAAGGCGUUGGAAGUGAGAACUGUGCUUGCUUUCCUUCAGCCACGUUUCCAUCGCAAGUACAUCUGCUGGUGCCCGCGCACUGCUGUCAUUGGGAGACUCCUCGUGCCAGUGAAACAGCCCUGCAGUCUCCGUGCAGCUUCCGUGUUAGGAAGGCCUUUCUUUGCAGUGGGCUGAACUGUGACUCGCUGCCGUUUCCAUCUAUGUCCCCGGCUCUCUGCUCCUGAGGCCACUCUCCUUCCACAACACGGUCUGCAGUCUGCCUUCUCCAGCUGAACCAUCGCCGUUCCCUUUUCACAUCCCACAUGCUUUCCAGAUCCUUCGCCACCCUGAUGGCUCU
rnacentral:lncRNA from 1 species